AGAGUUUGAUCCUGGCUCAGAACGAACGCUGGCGGCAGGCCUUACACAUGCAAGUCGAGCGAACCCUUCGGGGUUAGCGGCGGACGGGUGAGUAACGCGUGGGAAUAUACCCUUCUCUACGGAAUAGCCUCGGGAAACUGAGAGUAAUACCGUAUACGCCCUUCGGGGGAAAGAUUUAUCGGUGAAGGAUUAGCCCGCGUUGGAUUAGGUAGUUGGUGGGGUAAAAGCCUACCAAGCCGACGAUCCAUAGCUGGUUUGAGAGGAUGAUCAGCCACACUGGGACUGAGACACGGCCCAGACUCCUACGGGAGGCAGCAGUGGGGAAUCUUAGACAAUGGGGGAAACCCUGAUCUAGCCAUGCCGCGUGAGUGACGAAGGUCUUAGGAUCGUAAAGCUCUUUCGCCAGGGAAGAUAAUGACGGUACCUGGUAAAGAAGUCCCGGCUAACUCCGUGCCAGCAGCCGCGGUAAUACGGAGGGGACUAGCGUUGUUCGGAAUUACUGGGCGUAAAGCGUACGUAGGCGGAUUGGAAAGUAUGGGGUGAAAUCCCAGGGCUCAACCCUGGAACUGCCUCAUAAACUCCCAGUCUUGAGUUCGAGAGAGGUGAGUGGAAUUCCGAGUGUAGAGGUGAAAUUCGUAGAUAUUCGGAGGAACACCAGUGGCGAAGGCGGCUCACUGGCUCGAUACUGACGCUGAGGUACGAAAGUGUGGGGAGCAAACAGGAUUAGAUACCCUGGUAGUCCACACCGUAAACGAUGAAUGCCAGACGUCGGGCAGCAUGCUGUUCGGUGUCACACCUAACGGAUUAAGCAUUCCGCCUGGGGAGUACGGUCGCAAGAUUAAAACUCAAAGGAAUUGACGGGGGCCCGCACAAGCGGCGGAGCAUGUGGUUUAAUUCGAAGCAACGCGCAGAACCUUACCAACCCUUGACAUCCUCAUCGCGGUUUCCAGAGAUGGAUUCCCUCAGUUCGGCUGGAUGAGUGACAGGUGCUGCAUGGCUGUCGUCAGCUCGUGUCGUGAGAUGUUCGGUUAUGUCCGGCAACGAGCGCAACCCACGUCUUUAGUUGCCAGCAGGUUAAGCUGGGCACUCUAAAGAAACUGCCGGUGAUAAGCCGGAGGAAGGUGUGGAUGACGUCAAGUCCUCAUGGCCCUUACGGGUUGGGCUACACACGUGCUACAAUGGUAGUGACAAUGGGUUAAUCCCCAAAAGCUAUCUCAGUUCGGAUUGUCGUCUGCAACUCGACGGCAUGAAGUCGGAAUCGCUAGUAAUCGCGUAACAGCAUGACGCGGUGAAUACGUUCCCGGGCCUUGUACACACCGCCCGUCACACCAUGGGAGUUGGGUUUACCCGAAGGCCGUGCGCCAACCU
rnacentral:rRNA from 1 species